rnacentral:lncRNA from 1 species
AUAGCUCCUACCAAGAGCGAACAAUUACUUCUUUAGGAUUUUAAAUGACUGUGCAAGUAUGCAAAGAACCCUAAAGAAAGAAAUAGCAUCUCAUUUUCCAUCCAGUCCUUGCUCAGUAUGUUUGCUGGGCGGCUGUGACAGGCCCUGGGUGUGGAGUCAGCUGCAAGUGCAGAGCUCCCUCUGGGAUGUGAGGUGCUGUUGUCCACGGCCCCGCAGCCCCGGGCUCAAGUCUCAGUGUCCUCACAAAGGGGUUUGUGUCCUCACCGCAACCCACAUGCGACCCACAGCCCAGCCUCGCCUCUCCCUCAACAGCCUGCACCUCCCUGUCCCUCAGCACCUGCUGAGACAUCUGCAAGGGGCCUGUCUGGCCCCGCUGGCCUCUCCCUAUGGAUACCUUAACCGAGAAGGGAAAGACCUCCCACUCAGCCUCCUCACUUUGCAAGCACUGCAGGGUGGUCCAAGGAUGACACGAGGGCACCCAGGUGACAUGCCUGACCCAGUCAGUCCUAAAUAAACGAGAGCUACUCUUCCACAGCCAUCAUCACCACCACCAACCUUUCCUCACUUUCUGGAUUCAACUACCUCCCAAACGCUCUCAAACCUCUCAACCCCACUUCAGACAUGGAGUGCCCCCCUCCUGAAGCUCCUUCGCUCUGCCCUCUUACCACGCGUCCUGACUGCAGCCUCUUCCGUGGCUUCCUGAGCUCAGCUCCAACAUUCUUUAACCUACCUUCCCCAGCAGUGCUAUUUCCGAAGACAAACACCUCCUCAUUCUAGUACGUUGCUUUUAGUGACCAUCCGUGCCUCGCCACUGCUUACCAAUCAAAGCAUCCACUCCUUAGAUGGAGACAAGGCUCUGCACAGCCCGGCCUACGGCUGCUCCUCGUGGCACAGCACAGGGCUCCGGAGAGCUGCCCAUCUGCAGCAGGAGCUACAGUUCUCUAAACAGACAGUGACUCCCACAUUCCCACUGAGAAUUUGUGUAUUCAUUUGGCAAAAACUCAUGAAAAUGCAUCACUACUCAUUGAGCUUGGGAGUCCAAAUCCUGCUGUAACCUGCAGGCUGCAAAACUUCAUAGAGUGGAUUUAAGCUCUCCAAGCCUCAGUUUAUUCACCUGUAAAAUACGGAAUACAUCUCAUAUGUUGCAUGGAUAAAAAUGAAUAAGACAAUGCACAAAGUGCCCCAAACACAAGGAGGGUGAGGAUUCCUUUCCUAAAGAAUCCCACAGCAUAACAGGGAGAGAGGCUGCAAGAGAUCAUGCUACUGAGAGGCACUAAUGCAGGGUCCAUGUGGUGCAGUCACAGGAGACUGCAGAGAGGGGGCAGGGACUGCUCCCAGGAGUGGUGGCAUCUGACCUGUGACUUGAAGCAUAUGAAUUUACUAGUGGUUUCCACAAGAGAAGCGCUCCAGGAAGAGGGAACUGUAUGUGGCUCGCACAUGGGUCUGGGAGCAAAGACAAAUGCCUGUGAAUGGAAGAGACACACACAAGAGAAGGGCUGGAGAGGGAGGAGGGGGUGAGGAGCUCUCUAGGUCCCAUCAAGAGAGCACAGUGAAGCAGAGAGCCUCCUGUCCACCAAGAGGGCAUGCAGAGCCAGGCUCAGGAGUCCCGGCUUCAUUCUGGAUGGGCCCUGUCCAGGUAACAGAGUUAACUGAGGCAUUAUUCUAAGGACAGAGUGGUGGGGGUCAAAUGUGGGGGAAAGAACUGGGAUCAAGGUCUACGUGAAGGAUGAUGUGGCAGCAGGCAUCAAGACAGAAAGGAAGAGGCAAAUGCAUGAAAUCUUCAGAAGUCUAGAAAAGAGCAUCAACUGGACUUGGGAACUGAAUGUGGAGGCUCCGGAUCCAAGACCUCGAAGAGCAGCUCAGGCUGACUGCCUUGCUCAGGGAGGCUGGCCCUCAACAAGAAACAGGAAUUAAGAAAGUAGACAGCUUUGGGAGAAGGGGAGAACACACAGAUGAAAUUAAUAUGCCCCCAAAUUGGAAGCUUUGGAAAAGGGAGGAAUGAAUGCAGCCAGAGAGUAAGAGUGCCGUCACGUCAAAGAGAUUCACAGCAGACUCGGCUAUGUGCCUGCAUCCAGAUAAUCAAGAACUCCUGCCAGUUCAACCUCCUAAGUUCCACAGCCACUGGCCUUCCAUGCUUCGUAGGGAGGAGGCAUAGGUAACUGUGUUUUACCUGUAUUGAUUCCUAAUUUUCAAACCUUCUUAGACCAAUGACAGACUUGAUUUUUCUGAGCCUCGGGAACAGCAUCUGUAGAGUGCCAUGGUCAUUGUGUGGAUUAGGAAUGAUGCAUAACAGAAGGUGACUGAGAGUUACAGUGGAGCAAGUAAUCAAUGACAGGAAAUGAUCACUGAUCUGAAGAGUUAGAGGGUUUAUGGCAAAUGAAGAGCCUGAGCUAUAGUGGAGAGGGCUCAGGGAGAGGAGCAUAUCCGUGCAGGAUUCAGUGGAGAGAGCUCAGGGAGAGGAGCGUAUCCGUGCAGGAUUCAGUGGAGAGAGCUCAGGGAGAGAAGCGUAUCCGUGCAGGAUUCAGUGGAGAGAGCUCAGGGACAGGAGCGUAUCCGUGCAGGAUUCAGUGGAGACAGCUCAGGGAGAGAAGCGUAUCCGUGCAGGAUUCAGUGGAGAGAGCUCAGGGACAGGAGCGUAUCCGUGCAGGAUUCAGGGAAGGCUCCGGAGUGCAGAUGUGCACCAGGCACAUCAUACAUACAUGCAUACGGUGCAUCAGGCAUGCACAGACACACAGCUUACACAUGCUGUGCCGCUGGAACAAAGGC